rnacentral:rRNA from 1 species
AGCGUACACGGUGGAUGCCCUGGCAGUCAGAGGCGAUGAAGGACGUGCUAAUCUGCGAAAAGCGCCGGCGAGGUGAUAUGAACCUUUGACCCGGCGAUGUCCGAAUGGGGAAACCCAGUGCAAUCCGUUGCACUAUCGUUAACUGAAUACAUAGGUUAACGAGGCGAACCGGGGGAACUGAAACAUCUAAGUACCCCGAGGAAAAGAAAUCAACCGAGAUUCCCCCAGUAGCGGCGAGCGAACGGGGAGCAGCCCGGAGUCUGAAUCAGCUUGUGUGUUAGUGGAACGGUCUGGAAAGUCCGACGGUACAGGGUGAUAGUCCCGUACACGAAAGCACACAUGCUGUGAACUCGAAGAGUAGGGCGGGACACGUGGUAUCCUGUCUGAAUAUGGGGGGACCAUCCUCCAAGGCUAAAUACUCCUGACUGACCGAUAGUGAACCAGUACCGUGAGGGAAAGGCGAAAAGAACCCCGGCGAGGGGAGUGAAAAAGAACCUGAAACCGUGUACGUACAAGCAGUGGGAGCCUCUUUAUGGGGUGACUGCGUACCUUUUGUAUAAUGGGUCAGCGACUUAUAUUCUGUAGCAAGGUUAACCGUAUAGGGGAGCCGAAGGGAAACCGAGUCUUAACUGGGCGUUAAGUUGCAGGGUAUAGACCCGAAACCCGGUGAUCUAGCCAUGGGCAGGUUGAAGGUUGGGUAACACUAACUGGAGGACCGAACCGACUAAUGUUGAAAAAUUAGCGGAUGACCUGUGGCUGGGGGUGAAAGGCCAAUCAAACCGGGAGAUAGCUGGUUCUCCCCGAAAGCUAUUUAGGUAGCGCCUCGUGAACUCAUCUUCGGGGGUAGAGCACUGUUUCGGCUAGGGGGCCAUCCCGGCUUACCAACCCGAUGCAAACUACGAAUACCGAAGAAUGUUAUCACGGGAGACACACGGCGGGUGCUAACGUCCGUCGUGAAGAGGGAAACAACCCAGACCGCCAGCUAAGGUCCCAAAGUCAUGGUUAAGUGGGAAACGAUGUGGGAAGGCACAGACAGCCAGGAUGUUGGCUUAGAAGCAGCCAUCAUUUAAAGAAAGCGUAAUAGCUCACUGGUCGAGUCGGCCUGCGCGGAAGAUGUAACGGGGCUAAACCAUGCACCGAAGCUGCGGCAGCGACACUAUGUGUUGUUGGGUAGGGGAGCGUUCUGUAAGCCGUCGAAGGUGUCCUGUGAGGGGUGCUGGAGGUAUCAGAAGUGCGAAUGCUGACAUAAGUAACGAUAAAGCGGGUGAAAAGCCCGCUCGCCGGAAGACCAAGGGUUCCUGUCCAACGUUAAUCGGGGCAGGGUGAGUCGACCCCUAAGGCGAGGCCGAAAGGCGUAGUCGAUGGGAAACAGGUUAAUAUUCCUGUACUUGGUGUUACUGCGAAGGGGGGACGGAGAAGGCUAUGUCAGCCGGGCGACGGUUGUCCCGGUUUAAGCAUGUAGGCGGAGGUUCCAGGUAAAUCCGGUACCUUAUUAACGCUGAGGUGUGAUGACGAGGCACUACGGUGCUGAAGUGAUAAAUGCCCUGCUUCCAGGAAAAGCCUCUAAGCAUCAGGUAACACGAAAUCGUACCCCAAACCGACACAGGUGGUCAGGUAGAGAAUACCAAGGCGCUUGAGAGAACUCGGGUGAAGGAACUAGGCAAAAUGGUGCCGUAACUUCGGGAGAAGGCACGCUGAUAUGUAGGUGAAGUCCCUGCGGACGGAGCUGAAAUCAGUCGAAGAUACCAGCUGGCUGCAACUGUUUAUUAAAAACACAGCACUGUGCAAACACGAAAGUGGACGUAUACGGUGUGACGCCUGCCCGGUGCCGGAAGGUUAAUUGAUGGGGUUAGCGGCAACGCGAAGCUCUUGAUCGAAGCCCCGGUAAACGGCGGCCGUAACUAUAACGGUCCUAAGGUAGCGAAAUUCCUUGUCGGGUAAGUUCCGACCUGCACGAAUGGCGUAAUGAUGGCCAGGCUGUCUCCACCCGAGACUCAGUGAAAUUGAACUCGCUGUGAAGAUGCAGUGUACCCGCGGCAAGACGGAAAGACCCCGUGAACCUUUACUAUAGCUUGACACUGAACACUGGUCCUUGAUGUGUAGGAUAGGUGGGAGGCUUUGAAGCGUGGACGCCAGUCUGCGUGGAGCCAACCUUGAAAUACCACCCUUUAAUGGCUGGUGUUCUAACGUAGACCCGUAAUCCGGGUUGCGGACAGUGUCUGGUGGGUAGUUUGACUGGGGCGGUCUCCUCCCAAAGAGUAACGGAGGAGCACGAAGGUUGGCUAAUCCUGGUCGGACAUCAGGAGGUUAGUGCAAUGGCAUAAGCCAGCUUGACUGCGAGCGUGACGGCGCGAGCAGGUGCGAAAGCAGGUCAUAGUGAUCCGGUGGUUCUGAAUGGAAGGGCCAUCGCUCAACGGAUAAAAGGUACUCCGGGGAUAACAGGCUGAUACCGCCCAAGAGUUCAUAUCGACGGCGGUGUUUGGCACCUCGAUGUCGGCUCAUCACAUCCUGGGGCUGAAGUAGGUCCCAAGGGUAUGGCUGUUCGCCAUUUAAAGUGGUACGCGAGCUGGGUUUAGAACGUCGUGAGACAGUUCGGUCCCUAUCUGCCGUGGGCGCUGGAGAAUUGAGGGGGGCUGCUCCUAGUACGAGAGGACCGGAGUGGACGCAUCACUGGUGUUCGGGUUGUCAUGCCAAUGGCACUGCCCGGUAGCUAAAUGCGGAAGAGAUAAGUGCUGAAAGCAUCUAAGCACGAAACUUGCCCCGAGAUGAGUUCU